GCCGGGGUGGUGGAAUUGGUAUACACGCAUGGUUUAGGACCAUGUGCCGCAAGGCGUGCAGGUUCGACCCCUGUCCCCGGCACCA
rnacentral:tRNA from 1 species